rnacentral:lncRNA from 1 species
UGUCUCUCUCCAGUCUCUACUGUUCCAUUUCACGGCCUGGCCCGGUAUGUUUUUGCCGCCAAGGGAGUUGGGCUGUACAAGGAUCAGAUCAUCAGAGUUCAUAGGAUCAGACUUCUUUCCCUUUCUUUCCUUGUUCAUGUUGUCACCAGACACCAGGGUCCACAGCAGAAGCAGAGUGCACGGAUUGUCAUCUUCACCCAACGUAGGCUAUGUACUGCAACUACUACUUCGAUGGCGAGGUCAGCAGCAGAUUCCAACCAUCCGAUUAAAGAACAUGCUCUUGCUGACGAAAAUGGAAGCUAAGCAUGCAUCACAUUUGCAGCAAUAUCAGGAGAGAAAAGCACAGCCCUUUUUUUCUUCUUGCAGGGUGGAGCUAGAAUUUGAUUAUUGAAUCUAGCUUG